rnacentral:rRNA from 1 species
UUGAACGCUGGCGGAAUGCUUUACACAUGCAAGUCGAGCGGCAGCGCGGGGGCAACCUGGCGGCGAGCGGCGAACGGGUGAGUAAUGCAUCGGAACAUGUCCAUGGUCGUGGGGGAUAGCCCGGCGAAAGCCGGUAUUAAUACCGCAUACGCCCGAGAGGGGAAAGUGGGGGACCGCAAGGCCUCACGCGAUUGGGUUGGCCGAUGUCCGAUUAGCUAGUUGGCGGGGGUAAGAGCCCACCAAGGCGAUGAUCGGUAGCUGGUCUGAGAGGAUGAUCAGCCCACAUGGGACUGAGACACGGCCCAGACUCCUACGGGAGGCAGCAGUGGGAAGUUUUGGACAAUGGGGGCAACCCUGAUCCAGCCAUUCCGCGUGAGUGAAGAAGGCCUUCGGGUUGUAAAGCUCUUUUGUCCGGAACGAAACGGUGAACGUGAAUAGCGUUCGCUACUGACGGUUACCGGAAGAAUAAGCACCGGCUAACUACGUGCCAGCAGCCGCGGGUAAUACGUAGGGUGCGAGCGUUAAUCGGAAUUACUGGGCGUAAAGCGUGCGCAGGCGGUUUUGUAAGCCAGAUGUGAAUCCCCGGGCUUAACCUGGGAAUGGCAUUUGGGACUGCAAGGCUGGAGUGCGGCAGAGGAGACUGGAAUUCCUGGUGUAGCAGUGAAAUGCGUAGAUAUCAGGAGGAAUACCGAUGGCGAAGGCAGGGUCUCUGGGCUGACACUGACGCUCAUGCACGAAAGCGUGGGGAGGCAAACAGGAUUAGAUACCCCUGGUAGUCCACGCCCUAAACGAUGUCGACUGGUUGUUGGGGGGUUUUUGACACUCUCAGUAACGAAGCUAACGCGUGAAGUCGACCGCCUGGGGAGUACGGCCGCAAGGUGUAAAACUCAAAGGAAUUGACGGGGACCCGCACAAGCGGUGGAUUAUGUGGAUUAAUUCGAUGCAACGCGAAAACCUUACCUACCCCUUGACAUGUCGAGAGCUCGCCUGAGAGGCGGGUGUGCCCGAAAGGGAAUCGGAACACAGGUGCUGCAUGGCUGUCGUCAGCUCGUGUCGUGAGAUGUUGGGGGUUAAGUCCCGCAACGAGCGCAACCCUUGUCAUUAGUUGCUACAUUCAGUUGGGCACUCUAAUGAGACUGCCUGGUGACAAACCGGAGGAAGGUGGGGAUGACGUCAAGUCCUCAUGGCCCCUAUGGGUAGGGCUUCACACGUAAUACAAUGGCGCGUACAGAGGGUUGCCAAGGGGUGACCUGGAGCCAAUCCCGCAAAGGCGCGUCGUAGUCCGGAUUGCAGUCUGCAACUCGACUGCAUGAAGUCGGAAUCGCUAGUAGAUCGCGGAUCAGCAUGUCGCGCGUGAAUACGUUCCCGGGUCUGUACACACCGCCCGUCACAACCAUGGGAGUGGGUUUCACCAGAAGCCGGUCGCCUACCGCAAGGGGGGCGCCGCCCACGGUGAGAUUCAUGACUGGGGUG